rnacentral:rRNA from 1 species
UCCGUAGGUGAACCUGCGGAAGGAUCAUUACUGAGUAAGGGUCUUCUGGCCCAACCUCCAACCCCUUGUAUACUACCAAGCUUUUUUAUGUUGCUUCGGUGGGCUGUAAAUGUCUACCGAAGCACAACAAAAACUCUUAUAAUUGAUGGUGUCUGAGUAAAUGAAGAAAUUAUUAAAACUUUCAACAACGGAUCUCUUGGUUCCCGCAUCGAUGAAGAACGCAGCGAAAUGCGAUAAGUAAUGUGAAUUGCAGAAUUCAGUGAAUCAUCGAAUCUUUGAACGCACAUUGCGCCCCUUGGUAUUCCGAGGGGCAUGCCUGUUCGAGCGUCAUGAUCAAAUCUCAAGCCUAGCUUGGAAUUGGGCUUUCGUCUCCUGCCAUUGUGGCUAGUUGAGACGUGUCUAAAAAGAAAUGGCGAUGCCUCAAUGGACUCUAGCGUAGCAGACUGACUUGCGCUUGGAGGGCUGCUGUAGGUUUUUGCUAAUAAAAUAAUCAAGUUGGACCUCGGAUCAGGUAGGGAUACCCGCUGAACUUAAGCAUAUCAAUAAGCGGAGGA